CUAUUUUCUAUUUUGUUUUAUUGAUAUUUUUUAUAAAAAACAACGAACUGUAAAAUACAAAAAUAAAUAAAAUUCUAGUUUCUGA
rnacentral:ribozyme from 16 species